CUCACGUGGUAACUCUCACGUACUUAGUACCCCAGUAACUCUCUUGCACUUAGUACUCCAGGAACUCUUGUGCACCUAGUACUCUAGUAACUCAUGUGGUGAUUCUCACUCACUUAGUACUCCAGUAACUCACGUGGUAACUCUCAUGCACUUAGUACUCCAGGAACUCUUGUGCACUUAGUACUCUAGGAACUCACAUGGUAACUCUCACACACUUAUACUCCAGUAACUCACGUGGUAACUCUCAUGCACUUAGUACUCCAGGAACUCUCGUGCACUUAGUGCUCCGGUAACUCACGUGCAGUUGGUUAGACUGCAGUUGAUCCAUCUCAUGCUGAACUCCACACACACAUCGUGACAACUCGAAGCUAAUGCUGACAUUCAAAGAACGUCAGAGGAGCGACUCCUUUUAAAAGGCGCCUGUUGGAAGGGGCUGCAUCCUGCAGUUUCCAAAGCAGUCUUCCAUCCAGGGCGCCAUUUGUGCCUGUGCAAGAAAGAUGCGGCUAACCGCAGAUAGGUGAAGUCACUGCCCGAGAGGCAGGCCAGACUCCUGCUCCUGCACCGGUGGCGGGAUCGUCGGUUGGUUUUCACUUCAUCUCACUACUCCCGAUGCCGCGUGUUCUUUCCGAAAGAGCGUAGGACCUCUACCCAAAUCAGCUGGCCGAGAGGUAGGUACGGGAUGUCAACGCCACGGUAGAAAAUAGGAUGCAGACGUGCCGAACUGCCCCGUGGGUGUAGGCAGCCAAACCCCAGCUGCAGAGACUCGCCAGGGGGAGUGCCCUGGGUUCUCUGAUGGGUAAAUUGUAAGGAAAAGAAAGAGGUGGGGCGACGACCUGAAGGUUAAAAGAAACCGAAAAGACACGUCAUUUUGGUAAAAUGAUCAAGACUAAACCGUAGCAGGUGGAUGUGCGUGGGUAGGCGAGAGAUUAUUUUUAAGACACAGGAAGUGAUUACGAUAAGGAAUAGCGGUUACUUGGGGCGGAGGGGAAUGAAACUGAUUGGGUCGGAGCACGUGAAGGGUGACUUCUGGUGACUGGCCAAGUUCUGUUUUUUUGACUUAGGUUUCAUUAAAAAGGUGCUUGCCUUAUAAUAACUUGCUGAGAUACAGAUUCGUGGUUUUCCAGAUUCUGUGCUUUUAUUUUCCCCUUAAAAGGUUUUCCAAAUUGUGUGCAGACAUCAGUGCCCCCAGUUUCCUCAUUUCUUCUUUGGUUUGGGAGAAAAAGGAAAAAGCUGAUUUUGGCUAAAAAAGGGAGACUAGGGAUGAAGUAAAAUAUCCAUCAUUUAACUCGUGGAGGGGGUGCCAGGCCCGUCAGAGCACUGAGGGAAAAUCCGCAGCAAGGAGUCGGGUUUUUAGAAGCCCCUUGUGUUCCUGCUGCAGGACUAUUUGAAUAGAGAUCCACGCUGCGGCAGGGCAGUUGAGAAAAGCGUGAAUUGUGAGCUCAGGAAGGGUUGGUGAGCACCUGCUGUGCCCUAUGGUGGGCUGGGAAGAGAGGAAAUACGAGACGGUGUGGAAUGAAAUCCUGCCUCUGUAAAGUGUUUCCUCUGGGCAAUCAAGCCAGUGGCACAGGUCAAACCCCAGUUGCCAGCCGGAGGGGGGCAGCCGGUCAGAGCCUCAGAAGUUACAGGUCCGUGCGGUUUCAGAGGCGUGCGCACAUUUGCAGCCCGAGGUCUGCAUUUGCUCAUCCUAGCGCUGCCCUUGGUGCUGGGGGACUAACUGGCUUCUCGGUCAGUUGUGACUUCCUCUGCUACCUUGGUCUAGUUGCUCUGCAAAAUGGGUCUUCUCAGGAUAUUAAGAAGACUAAUCCAUACUAAAGUGACUGUAGAUUGCUUGGCAGAAUAUCACUGGUAAUAUUGAGAGAGGCGGCUUGGUGUAGUGGUUAGGAGCACAGAUUCCAGAACCAUGUUGGCUAAGUUAAAUCCUAGCCCUGCUACAUGCCGGAUGUGUGACCCUAGGUAAGUUACCUAACGUCUCUGUGCCUCACUUCUAUUAAAAGGGGACAGCAGGGGCACCUGGGUGGUUCAGUCGGUUAAGCAUCUUGACUUUGGCUCAGGUCACGAUCUCAGUUUGUGAGUUUGAGCCCCACGUCAGGCUCUGUGCUGACAGCUCAGACCCUGGAGCCUGCUUCAGAUUCUGUGUGUCUCUCUCUCUGCCCUCCCCCGCUCAUGCUUUCUCUCUCUCUCUCUCCAAAAUAAAAACAUUAAAAAAUUUGUUAAAAAGGGACAACAAUGUUUCUGUUUUCAUGAUGAUCAGAUAAGUUAACGUUUAUCAAGGACUUAAAAUGGUAUUUGCCACUUAGAGCUUUAUAAAUGGUUACCAAGUAAACAAUAUUAAUUGUAUAUCCUCACAAAGUGCUGCACAGACAGCAUCUACCUGACUCAUACCAACCGCUCUAUGAAGUGUGUAGAUACCUUAUCACAAAGGCUAAUACAAGAUAACGAUAUUCACGAUUCCAUUGGGUGGAAUCUAGGAGAAAUGUACACUCCUCUGUCAUUACCAUGACCUUCACACAUACCUGCAUCCCACAAGCCAGUCCUCCGCUGUGUUUUUCAGCAAGUCACACCAGGGACCCUGGACAUCUGCCUCCAAAACUCUAGCACCCUUACUUUACCACUCAUCCUGCUGACGUGUAGGGGAACUGAGGGAGCCAGAAUGUCAUUACCCAGCCGGAGAUCAGCCAGGAAGCGGAGGUUGACGUUUAUUGGAUCAACUCGCAACUUCCACAAGGGAGCAGAGAGAGCUGGACGUACAGAUCUCGUCCUCCAGGCUUGCUUACAACACUGUAAAUCCAAAGGUGUGAUCAUCUGGCCCAAGCCUCUCGAUUUGUAGGCGUGAAGGUGCGACCGUGGAAGGGAGAAAGGACUCACCCAAAGUCACACAGCCAGACAUCGUCCCCUUCACGUGCCCAGCAGGCCUUUCAGGUGGAUGUUAACAAUCUUCAUUUGGUAGAUGGGAGGAUCCCCCGGGGGAAAAUAGUAGCAGGGCUGAGACCGAGACCUAACUCUGCCUAAUGCCAAAGCCCACCAAUGUGAUCCACAUUUCAGCUUUCCUCUCGGAAGCAGAUAAUAACAUUGGACCAGCCUUCAGCUGCCAGUGUUGGCUGUUCCCUAGUUACGGCAGAUUUGCUUCUAAAUUCCCCUCGCUCGUUGGUUCCCUCCCGUUCCACGCCAGGGUGACAGGCCCACGUUUGCAGGUUGGAGUGGUAUCUUGCCAGGACCCAGUGACACCAGCACCGUUGUAAACCCCUAGAUCCCAGUAGCGUCCUGGUGGGGGCUUUGAAUCACGAGUCCUGAU